AUACGGAGGAUCCGAGCGUUAUCCGGAUUUAUUGGGUUUAAAGGGUGCGCAGGCGGCCAUUUAAGUCAGCGGUUAAAUCGUGGGGCUCAACCCCAUUCUGCCGUUGAUACUGGGUGGCUUGAUUGCGGUCGAGGUUGGCGGAAUUCGUUGUGUAGCGGUGAAAUGCAUAGAUAUGACGAAGAACACCGAUUGCGUAGGCAGCUGACCAGACCGCAAAUGACGCUCAUGCACGAAAGUGCGGGGAUCGAACAGGAUUAGAUACCCUGGUAGUCCACGCCGUAAACGAUGGGCGCUCGUCGUCGGCGACAGACAGUCGGCGGCCAAGCGAAAGCGAUAAGCGCCCCACCUGGGGAGUACGGUCGCAAGGUUGAAACUCAAAGGAAUUGACGGG
rnacentral:rRNA from 1 species